GGAGAUGGCUGAGAACAGCAGUGUGUCCCUUCGUCAGUAGAAGAUUUAGGAUUUGGACAUACAUCAGAACUCAAGUCUGCAUAUAAAGUAAAGUUUCACCAAAUUUUAGAAUGUCAUCAGGAAGCUUUGAAUUGCUAACCUGUAAUUCAAGUGUUGCUUUUCAACGCCCGUCACUCUUCAUUGAAAGCUGUGUAGAAGUCCAUUGGUUUAAUUGUCUUUAUUUAUUUAUGUAUUUGCUUUUUUGAAGCAGACGUGGAUGCUCUAUCAAGGAGGA
rnacentral:misc_RNA from 1 species